rnacentral:rRNA from 1 species
UACAGAGGAUGCAAGCGUUAUCCGGAAUGAUUGGGCGUAAAGCGUCUGUAGGUGGCUUUUCAAGUCCGCCGUCAAAUCCCAGGGCUCAACCCUGGACAGGCGGUGGAAACUACCAAGCUGGAGUACGGUAGGGGCAGAGGGAAUUCCCGGUGUAGCGGUGAAAUGUGUAGAGAUCGGGAGGAACACCGGUGGCGAAGGCGGGUCUCUGGGCAAUUCCUGACGCUGAGGCGCGAAAGCGUGGGGAGCAAACGGG